AGUGAUCGCUAGGGGAGCUCGCAAGGGCUGAGAAACUCCGGUUACGGGGUGACCCUGGGAACCUGUAUGGGUAAUUCCAGCGAAGGGAAGCGGCAUAGGCUACAG
rnacentral:ncRNA from 2 species